rnacentral:rRNA from 1 species
GACGGGGCCCGCACAAGCGGCGGAGCAUGCGGAUUAAUUCGAUGCAACGCGAAGAACCUUACCAAGGCUUGACAUACACCGGUAACGCCCAGAGAUGGGUGCCCCUUUGUGGUCGGUGGACAGGUGGUGCAUGGUUGUCGUCAGCUCGUGUCGUGAGAUGUUGGGUUAAGUCCCGCAACGAGCGCAACCCUCGUCCUAUGUUGCCAGCGGGUCAUGCCGGGGACUCAUGGGAGACUGCCGGGGUCAACUCGGAGGAAGGUGGGAUGACGUCAAAUCAUCAUGCCCCUUAUGUCUUGGGCUUCACGCAUGCUACAAUGGCCGGUACAGAGGGCUGCGAUACCGCGAGGUGGAGCGAAUCCCAGAAAGCCGGUCUCAGUUCGGAUUGGGGUCUGCAACUCGACCCCAUGAAGUCGGAGUCGCUAGUAAUCGCAGAUCAGCAACGCUGCGGUGAAUACGUUCCCGGGCCUU